CAUUGGUCUCUGUGCUGACAGCUCAGAGCCUGGAGCCCCUCCCCACUCACGCUCUUUCUCUCUCUGUCUCUCAAAAGAUAAACAAACAUUAACAAACAAAUAAAGGGGGGGUUGACAGACGACCUUUGUAAAGGGCCAGAGAGUAAGUACUUCAGUCUUUGAGGACCCUUCCACUCUGCUGUUGGGGGCCUGAAGGCAGUCGGGAUGGUACCUACACAGGUAGGUGUGGCUGAGUUCUAAUAAAACUUGAUUUGCAAAAAAUAGGAAGUGGACCAUACUUGGCCCAAAGGCCGUAGUUUGCCACCUCUUUCUCCAGCGAGGAAGACCCCUGUGUUUGAGUUAGAAGAUGCAUGUAAUGAUAUUCCCUGAAGCACUGCUUGUAAUAAUGAAAACUUGGCAAGAGAGGAUCUUGGCCUAUUAGCAGACUGGAUUAACAGACUGUGGUUUAGUCAGGCGAUAGAAAACUAAGUUGUGGUAGAGUGAUCUAGUUCUGGAUGUAUCUCAUGUAACUGAAUCUCAAAAAUUACACGGUGCAGUCACGAAGUAAGUUGCAAAAAAGGUAGUCAUGGCAUAAUGCCGUUCGUGUAUACAGACGUUACCGGUGUGAAACGGCCCGACGUGUUGCGGACACAUGUCAGUUGUAAGUAUGGUUUGUGGGCAGGGGUGGGACGUGCCAGCCAGAGGCCACCUGCGGAGGUCUAGAACCUGUCCUUUGGAUUCCUAGAAACCCGGAUGGAAAUCCAGGCCUGGCCGUUUGCCAGCACUGUGACUUUGGUUAAAGAACUUCUCUGAGCCUCAGUUUCUUCCUCUGAUAAAUAGGGACUAAUUAUUGCCUUCCCGGAAGGACUCUUACAAAGGUUAAGUGAGGGUGAUCUCAUGGGGGUGCUGACAUCAUUGUUUCCUAGGAGGACUUCAGGAGGAGGUGAUGUGACUUGCCCCAGGCAGAGUUAACCUGCAUCAGACUCUGAAGCUCCUAUGGUGAAAAUCUACCAGGAAAAAAAAAAGGAAACUCUUAUCAUUUGUUUGUUGUCCAAACCGGGAACGAAGUCUAAUGUUCUGAAAUGGGAUGAAUUUUGAAAAGUCCCUUUCGAAAGCUCUGGAGGUACUUUUUUUUCCACUCUGGUUUGAUGCUUUGGAAUAUUAAUUUUUUUGGUGGGGCAGUCGGUAGAGGUAGAACCGGUUUUGUAAGACCACCUCCUUCGUCACUCCAAGUUCCUAGUGUCACCCUACUGUAGAACUUCGCAGUCAGUACUUUUUGUCCCAAAUUGAAUCAUUGUCAUCUAUCAUCUUUAAAAUACCAUUAUCAUUAAAAUCCACUCUUGGAUACGA